CACCAGCAGCACAAUGAUGAUGUUACUGACUCUACUGCUGACCAUCCUGGAGCUCCUGGUUCAGGGUUCAUCAGGCGACAUCAUCUUGACUCAGACUCCAGAAUCUCAGUCUGUUGUUUUAGGACAGACCGUCUCCAUCAGCUGUAAAACCAGCUCCAGUAGCAGCUACCUCAGCUGGUACCUCCAGAAGGAUGGAGAGUCUCCUAAACUUUUAAUCUAUUAUGUUUCAUCUCGUCAGUCUGGGAUUCCAAGUCGUUUUAGUGGAAGUGGAUCUGGAACUGCUUUCACUUUAACAAUCAGUGGAGUUCAGGCUGAAGAUGGAGGAGUUUAUUACUGUCAGCAGGGUAGCAGCUGGCCAUUCACACAGUGAAACAACAUCGUACA